rnacentral:ncRNA from 1 species
UGAAAGGUUUGGUCCUAGCCUUAGUGUUAAUUGUAACUAAAAUUAUACAUGCAAGUUUCAGCACCCCUGUGAGAAUGCCCUAAUCAAUCUAUGUCAAUUGACUAGGAGCAGGUAUCAGGCACAUACCAUUUAGCCCAAGACACCUUGCUAAGCCACACCCCCAAGGGAUUUCAGCAGUAAUAAACAUUGAUACAUAAGCGAAAGCUUGAAUCAGUUAAAGUCAAUAGAGUUGGUAAAUCUCGUGCCAGCCACCGCGGUUAUACGAGUAACCCAAAUUAACACUCCACGGUGUAAAGAGUGAUUUAAGGAAAAACUAUAACCAUUAAAGUUAAAACUUCACCCAACUGUUAUACGUAUACAUGAACAGAAUAAUCAACAACGAAAGUGACUUUAUAUAAUCAGUAAUCUUGAUGUCACGACAGUUAGGGCCCAAACUAGGAUUAGAAACCCUACUAUGCCUAACUAUAAACUUAGACAAUAAUCCACUAUAUUGUUCACCAGAGUACUACAAGCGCUAGCUUAAAACCCAAAGGACUUGGCGGUGUCCCACACCCACCUAGAGGAGCCUGUUCUAUAACCGAUAAUCCUCGUUAAACCUCACCACUUCUUGCCAUCCCCGCCUAUAUACCGCCGUCGUCAGCUUACCUUAUGAAAGACAAAAAGUAAGCACAAAGAAUUUAAACUUCUAUACGUCAGGUCGAGGUGUAGCGAAUGAAGUGGAAAGAAAUGGGCUACAUUUUUUUAACCAAAAAACACGGACAGUAAACUGAAAAAUUACUUAAAGGUGGAUUUAGCAGUAAGAAAAGACCAAAAUACUUUACUGAAACCGGCCCUGGGACGCGCACACACCGCCCGUCACUCUCCUCAAUAACAUUCAUUAUUUAUUUAAAAAAAUUCCCUAAACAAGAGGAGGCAAGUCGUAACAUGGUAAGUGUACUGGAAAGUGCACUUGGAAU